rnacentral:rRNA from 1 species
AACGAACGCUGGCGGCAUGCCUAACACAUGCAAGUCGAACGAGAUCUUCGGGUCUAGUGGCGCACGGGUGCGUAACGCGUGGGAAUCUGCCCUUUGGUUCGGAGUAACAGUUGGAAACGACUGCUAAUACCGGAUGAUGACGAAAGUCCAAAGAUUUAUCGCCAGAGGAUGAGCCCGCGUAGGAUUAGCUAGUUGGUGUGGUAAAGGCGCACCAAGGCGACGAUCCUUAGCUGGUCUGAGAGGAUGAUCAGCCACACUGGGACUGAGACACGGCCCAGACUCCUACGGGAGGCAGCAGUGGGGAAUAUUGGACAAUGGGCGAAAGCCUGAUCCAGCAAUGCCGCGUGAGUGAUGAAGGCCUUAGGGUUGUAAAGCUCUUCUACCCGGGAUGAUAAUGACAGUACCGGGAGAAUAAGCUCCGGCUAACUCCGUGCCAGCCGCCGCCGUAAUAC